rnacentral:rRNA from 1 species
UACGUAGGGUGCAAGCGUUGUCCGGAAUUGUUGGGCGUAAAGAGCUCGUAGGCGGUUUGUCGCGUCUGCUGUGAAAACUGGAGGCUCAACCUCCAGCCUGCAGUGGGUACGGGCAGACUAGAGUGCGGUAGGGGAGAUUGGAAUUCCUGGUGUAGCGGUGGAAUGCGCAGAUAUCAGGAGGAACACCGAUGGCGAAGGCAGAUCUCUGGGCCGUAACUGACGCUGAGGAGCGAAAGCAUGGGGAGCGAACAGG